rnacentral:piRNA from 1 species
GGCGACACAGGUGAUGGCGGAGCCGG